AAAUUUCUGCCCUAUCAACUUUCGAUGGUAGGAUAGUGGCCUACCAUGGUGGCAACGGGUAACGGGGAAUUAGGGUUCGAUUCCGGAGAGGGAGCCUGAGAAAUGGCUACCACUUCCAAGGAAGGCAGCAGGCGCGCAAAUUACCCACUCCCAGCUUGGGGAGGUAGUGACGAAAAAUAACGAGGCGAUUCUCUUUUGAGAAACGUUAUCGAAAUGAGUACGCUUUACACACGCUAACGAGUAGCAAUUGGAGGGCAAGUCUGGUGCCAGCAGCCGCGGUAAUUCCAGCUCCAAUAGCGUAUAUUAAAGUUGCUGCGGUUAAAACGCUCGUAGUUGAAUUGUGGUCUUAGACAACAGUCCCCCUACAUAGGUGUGGCACGGUUGCUCGAGAUCUUCAUUCGUGGGUGCUGUUGUUGCUCUUCAUUGAGUGUCAAUGGUGCCUCGAGAUUUUACUUUAAAAAAUUAGAGUGCUCAAAGCAGGUUGUGAUGCCUGAAUAAUGGUGCAUGGAAUAAUAGAAUACGAUCUCGGUUCUAUUUUGUUGGGUUUCCGAACCGGAGAUAAUGAUUGAAAGGAACAGACGGGGGCAUUCGUAUUGCUGCGUUAGAGGUGAAAUUCUUGGAUCGCAGCAAGAUGAACAAUUGCGAAAGCAUUUGCCAAGAAUGUUUUCAUUAAUCAAGAACGAAAGUUAGAGGUUCGAAGGCGAUCAGAUACCGCCCUAGUUCUAACGGUAAACUAUGCCAACCAGCGAUUCGCCGAAGUUCAUUUAAGACUCGGCGAGCAGCUUCCGGGAAACCAAAGUGUUCCGGUUCCGGGGGAAGUAUGGUUGCAAAGCUGAAACUUAAAGGAAUUGACGGAAGGGCACCACCAGGAGUGGAGCCUGCGGCUUAAUUUGACGCAACACGGGAAAACUCACCCGGCCCGGACACUGGAAGGAUUGACAGAUUGACAGCUCUUUCUUGAUUCAGUGGGUAGUGGUGCAUGGCCGUUCUUAGUUGGUGGAGCGAUUUGUCUGGUUAAUUCCGAUAACGACCGAGACUCUACCCUAUCAAAUAGUGACAGUAUUGUAUUUUUUGUGCUGAUCACUUCUUAGAGGGACUGGCAAAUUGAAAGCUGCACGAAAAAGAGCAAUAACAGGUCUGUGAUGCCCUUCGAUGUCCGGGGCUGCACGCGCGCUACAAUGAAAGCGUCAACGUGAGUUACGUCCUUACCUGAAAAGGUUUGGCAAUCGAAUGAAACGUUUUCUUGAAUGGAAUAGGGAAUUGCAAUUGUUUCCCUUGAACGAGGAAUUCCCAGUAAGCGUGAGUCAUUAGCUCGCGUUGAUUACGUCCCUGCCCUUUGUACACACCGCCCGUCGCUACUACCGAUUGGAUGAUUUAGUGAGGUGUUUUGACUGGCGCCAGUAGUCGGAUGUAUUCGGCUUCGCGCCGGGAAAUUUCCCAAACCAAAUCAUCUAGAGGAAGUAAAAGUCGUAACAAGGUUUCCGUAGGUGAACCUGCGGAAG
rnacentral:rRNA from 1 species